rnacentral:lncRNA from 1 species
AAAGACACAAAAGCAAGUAAUGGUAAAAGCCUUAAAGAAAAUCAUCAGUAGAGUCGUCAUGCUGUCGACGCCCCUUCCCCGCCCCCCCUAAUAGGGCGAAAUCGGGUUUACGACGUUAUGGACAAAACUACUCUUAUUCUCUUUUGGGAAUUGGGUUAUGGAGUUUGAAGAGUCAUCACCUAAUGAUUAUAGUGAAUUACGACACUUUUAAGAAGAAGAAGAUUUUUAAUGAAAACCAGAGUUCGGGUAAUGGCUUGAAAUUAUCUCGAGAGAAAGGUGUUAGGAACCCCUCAAGAUCCAAAAGUGUGGUUCCCGGCCUUGCUUAGAUGUGACUUUAAGAAGCAUAGAAAUAGACAAGCAAAUGUGCAUUUAAGGAAUCCAAACUAAUGGACAAUUUUAAAAGAAGAAUAAUAUAAGUAAAAGAAAAUUUUUAGAGAAAGUACAUAAACAAAAAGUAAAGGUAAGGGGGUCCUAGAUUUCACUAUAAUAUGGAUCAUUCAAUACAAUAUCCCGCACAUACUCCCAAAGAGGGGUCGCUUUAAGAUAUUAUCGCAUCGUCAUCAUUUCCAUAUUCUACCCUUCCCCCCCGUAGAGUUUAUUUAAGCGUGUGAAUUGGUCACAGGGGCUUAUUGUGUGCUAUUACCCGUCCCGUCCUAUAGGUCCUAGAGGGUAUUUAGCACCACUAUUUCUAUAAGGUGAUGACUAGGUUGAACCCUUAGUUUUAAAGGUAAAAAAUACUAAGCGGCAUACAAAACAAGUAGGACUACACGUAAUGGAAUCAUAUAAAGGCAUAUAAAAGUCUCAAAUAUCCCUCCACGGAUAAAAACAUAAUUAGCACGUAUCAAUCACAUUUAAGGUCUACGAAAAGGGAGAAUUUUAAAAGUUGGAGUGUCGAAAAUAGGUUUAAAAUAGCAGAUGCAAAGUUUUAAACAGAAUUCGCAAAUAAAGAGUCGGACGAAAACUUUUGGGACUUUGAGAAAAGGCAGUGGAUGUGUAACAGUUUAGAAAUCGGAAGGAAGACAUUUUAAACACACUUGAAGAUACAUGCUAAGACACAACACAUAUGAUAAAAUAGUUUUCGGAUGGGAGAGGUAGAAAAUAGAUGCAAAAUUAUUCAGAAGUGUAAAAGAGCGUGUGAG